UUCUGGCGGAGGUAAGGAGGCAGGCGGCGGAGAGGGAGAGGGAGAUUGAGCAGAGGACGACUAGGCUUUUGGAGGAGGAGAGGAACCGGAACGACUUGGCUAACCAGGCCAUAUACGAGCUCUUCGCGUCCAUGUGCGAGAAGAACGGUCAGACCCCUCCGCCGAUGCCAGUCAUUGCUCCGGCGGACACACAUAACUCCCGACAAGCAUCGACGUCUGCCAUUGGCGCGAGCAAGAACCCCGAUCCUCCUCCGCCUGCCACUACCGCGAGCAAGAACCCCGAUCCUCCUCCGUCUGCCACUACCGCGAGCAAGAACCCCGAUCCUUCACCUACGGGUUGAUGGUAAGUUUUGCCUAGUGCUUUGCUUAAUUAGC